rnacentral:rRNA from 1 species
GAUGAACGCUGGCGGCGUGCUUAACACAUGCAAGUCGAACGUGAGUUCCUCUUCGGAGGAAUGAAAGUGGCAAACGGGUGAGUAACACGUUGGUGACCUGCCCCUCGGUGGGGGAUAACCCUGGGAAACCAGGGCUAAUACCGCGGAUGUCAGGACUGUUAGAGGGUCUUGACUAAAACUAAGGUGCCGAGGGAGGGGCCUGCGGGCUAUCAGCUAGUUGGUGGGGUAAAGGCUCACCAAGGCGCAGACGGCUAGGGGGCGUGAGAGCGCGACCCCCCACAAGGGAACUGAGACACGGUCCCUACUCCUACGGGAGGCAGCAGUGAGGAAUAUUGCCCAAUGGAGGAAACUCUGAGGCAGCAACGCCGCGUGAACGAUGACGGCCUUCGGGUUGUAAAGUUCUUUUCUCAGGGAAGAUGAUGACGGUACCUGAGGAAUAAGUCCCGGCUAACUACGUGCCAGCAGCCGCGGUAAAACGUAGGGGACAAGCGUUAUCCGGAUUUACUGGGCGUAAAGCGCCCGUAGGCGGCCAAAUAAGUUGGUUAUGAAAGCUCCUGGCUAAACUGGGAGAGGUUGACCAAGACUGUUGGACUUGAGUGGAGAAGAGGUAACGGAAUUCCCCGUGUAGUGUGAAAUGC